UAUCUUCUCCUAACAGCCGCCCCCAUCAUGUAUUGAGAAAUCAUGGCCACAUUAGUGUAGUAACCGCUCGUUCUUUCUACUCCUCCCUCUCAUGGUUCCUGUCAUUCGAGGAAGAUGCCUCUGCCGGUCACUAAGCUCCUCCGUUCUUUCAUUUCCAGGUCGGCCGGACUGCUGUGGCGCCGGAAAGAGGUCGUGUCAUCCGACACCGAGGAUGGCGACUACGAGGGCGGCAACCGAACUCCGCCCUCAGUGGCGGCCGCGGAGUGUUAUGCGUGCACCCAGCCGGGCGCGCCGGCCUUCCACUCCACCACCUGCGACCGCGCCCACUCGCCGGAGUGGGAGGCCAGCGCCGGGUCAUCGCUGAUCCCGAUCCGGCCGAGCCAGACCAACGUCCUGCGAAGCCUCCGGCCGGGCAAGUCGGGGGCGUCGCUGCUCGGUGGCCAGGUGCUCGAUCCGAGGAGCGAGAAGGUGCGACGGUGGAACCGGCUGAUCCUGCUCGCCCGGGCGGUGGCAGUGGCGGUGGACCCACUGUUCUUCUACGUGCUGUCUAUCGGGCGGCGAGGCGCGCCGUGCCUGUACAUGAACGGCGGCCUAUUGGCGAUUGUGACGGCGCUGCGCACGGCGGCCGACGCCGUGCACCUGGUGCACGUGUGGCUGCAGUUCCGGGUGGCGUACGUUUCGAGGGAGUCGCUAGUGGUGGGGUGCGGGAAGCUGGUAUGGGACGCCAGGAUGGUCGCCGUCCAUUACCUGCGGUCGCUCAGGGGCUUCUGGUUCGAUGUCUUCGUCAUCCUCCCGGUGCCUCAGGCUGUCUUUUGGCUGGUCGUCCCCAAAUUGAUCAAAGAGGACAAGAUAAAGCUUAUGAUGACUAUACUUCUGCUCAUCUUUGUGUUCCAGUUCCUCCCCAAGGUUUAUCACAGCAUCUGCGUGAUGAGGAGGAUGCAGAAGGUGACCGGCUACAUCUUCGGAACAAUCUGGUGGGGAUUUGGUCUCAACCUCAUCGCCUACUUCAUCGCUUCUCAUGUAGCAGGUGGGUGUUGGUAUGUUCUUGCAAUCCAACGCGUGGCCUCCUGUCUUCAACAGCAGUGUGAGCAGAAGAACGAUUGCGAUCUUGUAUCGCUGGGCUGCUCUAAGGAGGUCUGCUACCCCUUCACCCUGCGAUCUGGCAUGGCUACUUCAGCUUGUGAGGGCAACUUGAUGGCAUCUACCAGAAUGCAGAACACUUCGGUGUGCUUAAGUGGCAAUGGUCCAUUUCCAUAUGGAAUCUACAAUUGGGCUCUCCCUGUUGUGUCCAGCAGCUCACUUGCUGUCAAGAUCCUCUAUCCCAUCUUUUGGGGCCUCAUGACUCUGAGCACUUUCGGCAAUGAUCUCGAGCCUACCAGCCACUGGCUAGAAGUCAUAUUCAGCAUUGUUAUCGUCCUAAGUGGCUUGAUGCUCUUCACCCUGUUGAUCGGUAACAUUCAGGUAUUCUUGCAUGCUGUUAUGGCGAGGAAGAGAAAGAUGCAAUUACGAUCUCGGGACAUGGAAUGGUGGAUGAAACGGAGACAGCUACCCUCGCGGCUAAGACAAAGAGUUCGUCAGUACGAGCGCCAGCGCUGGGCUGCAACCAGAGGGGAGGAAGAGAUGGAGAUGAUCAAAGAUUUCCCCGAAGGACUGCGGCGUGACAUUAAGCGUGAUCUCUGCGUUGAUCUCAUUAAGCAGGUACCUCUGUUCCACAAUUUGGAUGAUCUCAUUCUGGACAACAUAUGCGAAAGAGUUAAACCCCUCGUCUUUUCCAAGGGUGAAAAGGUGAUAAGAGAAGGCGACCCAGUGCAGCGCAUGGUGUUCGUCGUCCGAGGCCACCUGAAGAGCAGCCAGUGCCUCAGCAAAGGCAUGGUGGCCACGUGCAUGCUCGGGCCUGGCAACUUCCUCGGCGACGAGCUCCUCUCGUGGUGCUUGCGGCGGCCAUUCGUCGACCGACUACCGGCUUCCUCCGCCACGUUCGAGUGCGUCGAGCCGGCAGAAGCCUUCGGCUUGGAUGCGCCCGAUCUCCGGUACAUCACAGAGCACUUCAGGUACAAGUUCGCGAACGAGAGGCUCAAGCGAACGGCGAGGUUCUACUCGUCUAAUUGGCGGACGUGGGCGGCUGUCAACAUACAGCUCGCCUGGCGCCGCUACAAGACGAGGACAGGAGGCGCGGCGAAUGGACCGCCGGAACAGCGCGACGGCGAACGCCGCCUGAGGAUGUAUGCUGCCAUGUUCAUGUCGCUGCGACCUCAAGACCAUCUCGAGUAGAACAAGAGCAGUCAUGUUGAUGGAGUUCAAAGGCCACUCGAGAAGAGAAGAAAUUUAGAAUUCAGCAUGAGAAAUAAUUCAGCUUGUUGCAUGAAAACUCUGGAGACUUGAUCUCUCAGUCUCCGGUUGAAGCUUUAGAAGCGCCAAGGUUCUUUUCUCGCGCUCCGUGGUGCGAUAUGAAGAAUUGCAUGAAGGUUGUUGAUGUGAUAUCGGCUGCUGAUCCAUCGAUUAAUGGAGUCAACAGUAAGGAUGAAGAAGGUUGGGCGCCCA